rnacentral:SRP_RNA from 1 species
GCCAGGCAUGGUGGCUCAUGCCUGUAAUCCCACCACUUUGGGAGGCUGAGGUGGGCGGAUCACCUGAGGUCAGGAGUUCAAGACCAGCCUGGCCAACAUGGUGAAACCCCGUCUCUA